AAAAAAACUGCGAAACACUAAAAAUUGGAUAGCAGAAAUUUCAAAAGUCAAAAACUCAAUUCCAACUUCAUGGCUAAAAGCUUUAACUACGGAAGAAUCCAUUAAAUCAAAAGUAAAUGUUAACAGAUUAUCUAUCAAUAUAAACAAAGAAAACAUUGAAAUUGAAAAUUUAAGCAACAAAAACGUGUAUCAAUUGCUGGUUCAAAAAAAAAAUCUCUCCAAACA
rnacentral:lncRNA from 1 species